GACACGCAAGUGGUAGGAAGCCGAAAGGUGACCGACCCUUCGGGGAGCUUGCACAGGUGCUGCAUGGCUGUCGUCAGCUCGUGUCGUGAGAUGUUCGGUUAAGUCCGCUAACGAGCGCAACCCUCGCUGUGUGUUAUAUGUGUCACACGGGACUGCCGGUCUUAAGCCGGAGGAAGGUGGGGAUGAUGUCAAGUCAGCAUGGCCUUUAUAUCCUGGGCUACACACACGCUACAAUGGCCAACACAAUAGGUUGCUAAGCCGCGAGGUGGCGCCAAUCCAUAAAGUUGGUCUCAGUUCAGAUUGUAGGCUGCAACCCGCCUGCAUGAAGAUGGAGUUGCUAGUAACCGCAGGUCAGCUAUACUGCGGUGAAUACGUUCCCGGGGCUU
rnacentral:rRNA from 1 species